AAUCAACGCUGGCGGCGUGCCUCAGACAUGCAAGUCGAACGCGAAAGGCCCCUUCGGGGGCCGAGUAGAGUGGCGUCCGGGUGAGUAACACGUGGGUAAUCUACCUUCGGGUGGGGAAUAACGACCGGAAACGGUACGCUAAUACCGCAUAAUGCAGCGGCACCUAAUGGUGACAGUUGUUAAAGCGGGGGAGUCGCAAGACCUCGCGCCUGAAGAGGAGCCCGCGGCGGAUUAGCUAGUUGGCAGGGUAACGGCCUACCAAGGCGACGAUCCGUAGCCGGCCUGAGAGGGGCGGUCGGGCUACACUGGCACUGACACACGGGCCAGACUCCUACGGGAGGCAGCAGUCGGGAAUUUUGGGCAAUGGGCGAAAGCCUGACCCAGCAACGCCGCGUGAAGGAUGAAGGCCUUAGGGUUGUAAAGCUCUUUCGCACGCGACGAUGAUGACGGUAGCGUGAGAAGAAGCCCC
rnacentral:rRNA from 1 species